rnacentral:lncRNA from 1 species
GCUGCACAAGAGUACGCUAAAGAGAUUGAAGCGUUGAAGGAACAAACGAGGAGUAUGCUAUUAGCAACUGGAAGGAAGACGGCUGAUACGUUGAAUUUGAUUGACAUUAUUGAACGUCUUGGCAUAUCAUAUCACUUUGAGAAAGAAAUUGAUGAGAUUUUGGAGCAAAUUUACAACCAAACCUCAAACUGCGAUGAUUUGAGCAUUUCUGCACUUCAAUUUCGAUUGCUCAGGCAACAUGAUUUCAACAUCUCUCCUGGUAAUUAAGUUCAUCAAAAAGCGCACCUUAAUGUUGUUAAAAUUAUUAUCAAUUUAUAGGAACUAUUACUUAAUCUUGAGUUUUCUUUCUUGAAAUACCAGAAAUUUUCAGCAAAUUCCAAGAUGAAAAUGGCAAAUUCAAAGAGUCUCUUUCUAGCGAUGUCUUAGGAUUAUUGAACUUGUAUGAAGCUUCACAUGUGAGGACUCAUGCUGACGAUAUCUUAGAAAAUGCACUUGCUUUCUCCAUUAUCCAUCUUGAAUCUGCAACUCCACAUUUGAAAUCUCCACUAAGGGAGCAGGUGACACAUGCCCUUGAGCAAUGUUUACACAAGGGCGUACCUAGAGUCGAGACCCGAUUCUUUAUCUCAUCAAUCUAUGAGAAAGAACAAUCAAAAAAUGAUGUGUUACUUCGAUUUGCAAAAUUGGAUUUCAACUUGCUCCAGAUGUUGCACAAACAAGAACUUGCAGAAGUAUCA